rnacentral:tRNA from 1 species
GCGGGUGUGGCGGAAUUGGCAGACGCGCUGGACUCAGGAUCCAGUGGGCUUAUGCCCGUGAGGGUUCAACUCCCUCCACCCGCACCA